AACGAACGCUGGCGGCAUGCCUAACACACGCAAGUCGAACGAGACCUUCGGGUCUAGUGGCGCACGGGUGCGUAACGCGUGGGAAUCUGCCCUUGGGUUCGGAAUAACAGUUAGAAAUGACUGCUAAUACCGGAUAAUGACGUAAGUCCAAGGAUUUAUCGCCCAAGGAUGAGCCCGCGUAGGAUUAGCUUGUUGGUGAGGUAAAGGCUCACCAAGGCGACGAUCCUUAGCUGGUCUGAGAGGAUGAUCAGCCACACUGGGACUGAGACACGGCCCAGACUCCUACGGGAGGCAGCAGUGGGGAAUAUUGGACAAUGGGCGAAAGCCUGAUCCAGCAAUGCCGCGUGAGUGAUGAAGGCCUUAGGGUUGUAAAGCUCUUUUACCCGGGAUGAUAAUGGCAGUACCGGGAGAAUAAGCCCCGGCUAACUCCGUGCCAGCCGCCGCCGUAACAC
rnacentral:rRNA from 1 species